UUGGGUUUGACAAAUGCUAUCAGCUGC
rnacentral:piRNA from 1 species